rnacentral:rRNA from 1 species
GAUGAACGCUGGCGGCGUGCCUAAUACAUGCAAGUCGAGCGAACGGACGAGAAGCUUGCUUCUCUGAUGUUAGCGGCGGACGGGUGAGUAACACGUGGAUAACCUACCUAUAAGACUGGGAUAACUUCGGGAAACCGGAGCUAAUACCGGAUAAUAUUUUGAACCGCAUGGUUCAAAAGUGAAAGACGGUCUUGCUGUCACUUAUAGAUGGAUCCGCGCUGCAUUAGCUAGUUGGUAAGGUAACGGCUUACCAAGGCAACGAUGCAUAGCCGACCUGAGAGGGUGAUCGGCCACACUGGAACUGAGACACGGUCCAGACUCCUACGGGAGGCAGCAGUAGGGAAUCUUCCGCAAUGGGCGAAAGCCUGACGGAGCAAAGCCGUGUGAGUGAUGAAGGUCUUCGGAUCGUAAAACUCUGUUAUUAGGGAAGAACAUAUGUGUAAGUAACUGUGCACAUCUUGACGGUACCUAAUCAGAAAGCCACGGCUAACUACGUG